rnacentral:tRNA from 1 species
GAGGGGAUAGCUCAGUGGUAGAGUACAUGCCUAGCAUGCACGAGGUCCUGGGUUCAAGCCCCAAUACCUCCA